UCGAUUUAUCGAAAUCUAAUUUGUAAAUGGCUUAAAACAUUUAGUUUGUUGAAAAAAAAAGGACAAAACAAUGGACCAAUGGACAGCUAAUACGAGUCGGUGAACCGAAUACACAAAAUUCUCUAAAUCCAAUUAAGCAAGAUUUCAAAAAAAAAAAAUUCUAAUAAAAACCCUACAUGUACAGUCUCUCUCAUUUAAAAUUUCUUUCUCCUCUUCUCUAACGGCCAAGUCUCCCUCUCCUCCCUCUCCUCCCCCUUCUCUCUUG
rnacentral:lncRNA from 1 species